rnacentral:lncRNA from 1 species
GGGAUAGAGUACUACUUUUCCUCUUUCUUUCUUUUAGCUUUAUCUGAGAGGUGUUUUCCAGAAGCUGAAGGUUGAUGCUGAACUGCUGAAGCUGGAGGAGCCAGAUGACAAAGAGCAUGGUGAGGAGGAGUAUCAGGCUAUGACACACGUUAUUUUGGAAAAACUUUUCAUAUGAUUAUUUAUUUUUCUAAUCCACCAUUUUUGGAAUGAGCUGAGAUUAGCCCAACUAAUAUUAACAUCAGUUCUAGGCUUGAAUCCAAACAGACUUUUCAAGAUCUCUAAAUUCCUUCAGAGAUGCUUAGAGGGAUAGAAUGCAGCUGAAUCACAGUCUCCCAACCAGAUCUUCCUUACCCGUGACAGGGUUUCACUCUGUCACCCAGGCUGGAGUGCAAUAGUGCCAUCAUGGUUCAUUGCAGCCUUCACCUCCCAGGCUCAAGCAAUCUUCCCCACCUCAGACUCCUGAGUAACUGGGACUAUAGCUGAAUAAUCUGGAGAUGGUGCUGGCAAAAGUCAGUAGAGACAGAGAGAGCUCAAAGCUCCCAGGAGCAUCCUGAUUCUGGCAGAAGCAGGAGCAGAGAGUUUAGAAUCAUGAGAUCAUCAUAAACCCCCUUCUUGGAAGAUCUCAGGACCUCAGACCACAGAAAUUACCCUCCACUUCAGUUUUGCCAUCCAUCAUACUAAGGCAGAAACACAUCUCACCUUCCUGCUACUCAAGAAUUGGCAAAUAAAGGCAAAAUCUCGCCCCUCUCUGAGAUUCUCAAAGAACAGUGUUUGACUCUGUUCAGUGGGGUUUUCCAGGGCCAAAAAUGCCUGUGGGAUUGAUUUUGGAGUCCCAGCAACCCUCAUCUCUUAGUCCUUAUAUUGCAUGCAGGUCCACAGGAAGAGAGGGUUGGCACUCAAAGGAUCACAGUUUCUAUCCCACGUCAUCACUCUUACUGACCACUCUGGCUCUGGGGAUGCUGCAUCUCUCUGAAAUCCACCCAGUUGCGGGAAAUACUGAGAGUUUAGGCCUACUUCCCAUUAUCUGAAUAAAAUAGAUAACAUCGUUUUUUCUUUUCCAAGAAAAUGGAAAUCAAGCCCACUGUUUUGUGUUAUCAGUUUAACCGCUGAGUUGAGGUGUCACCAGCAAGUACUGAGCUUUAACUGUUUCCAAAUGGGGCUUCUGAGAGGCACUGAGUUGGCAUCUACCAAGGACUUGGUCUACACAUAGAGGGAAGACAGAGACCAGGAAACACUCAUCUUUCUGCAAUUCAACUCUGGGCUCCAUCUUGAAGGAAAUGAAUGCAUGAAGAACAUUCUUAACCUAGUAUGUCUACGGCCAUACCACCCUAGGCGUGCCCAAUCUCGUCUGAACCCAGUACGUGACAUGCCCUAUGCUGAUGCUUUCAUAUGCGUUACCUUAUUUAAUCCUCAUGACUUCCACAUUAAUAAUAAUUACCUAUGAUGUGAGAGGGUCAUUAUACCAAUUUUAUGAAGAAAAUAUGGCUCAAAGAAAUAAUUUUUAAGUAGCAACACCAACAUUUGGAAUCUUCUUGAAACUUCUAACUCCUAGAAGACCACCAUGCUGUAUUUUUGGUCUACAAAUUUAAAUGGAAUAGUAUCUAAUGUUGGGGAAAACGGGAGGAAUGAAGGGUGACUGCUAAAGAGUACAGGAUUUCUUUUAGUGGUGAUGAAAAUGUUCUAAAAUUGACAGUGAUGACCAUUGCUCAACUCCAUGAGGACUCUAAAAUUCAUUGAAUUGUAUAUUUUAAAUGGGUGAAUUGUAUGGCAUGUGAGUUAUAACCACACAGAGCUGUUACAAAUAAGUAAUAUUUAAUGGAGGCCUCUUCCCACCCUACUCUACAACAGUCACAAAAACCUCUCAAUUUUCCCAUAUAUCCUGAAGUAGAAGGGCUUGCCUUUUAUCUCUUUGUAAUUUUAUGUAGUGGACAAUAAACAAAUGGCUGAUUGUAAUGAUGAAAAAGAUCCAAAUUUCUCCAGUAAAGUUGGGGGAGAAAUGCCCAGUUACAAGCAGCUGAAUGGAGGUCAGAGAGAACCAUAAUCCCAGAUAAAAAAUAAGCAGGCAAAAUUUUCUGUAGCACAAUCCCUCUCUCAUUUCAAGAAUCUGCCCACACGCUCCUCACACCUCCUCCUCUCCUGUCACUACCACCAUGAUCUUGUGGUUACACAAUUUCAUUCAGAGUCAAAAUUAGAAAUUAACUAAAGAAGCUAUGGUAUGGUAUUUUAUUCUAAGAUGUCAUCUCUUUUCAAAUGAAUCAUCAAUUUAAUAACAGUUUUCCAAGUGUUAAAAAUGUGGGGUAAAAAUGCAUUUUAGAAUCAAAGAAAUGUACUAAUCCCUAUGAAGAUGGUAAUCCAAUUAAAGUGUAAUUUCUCCAUAUUUGAAGACAUUUUCAGUGCAUGAAAAUGCUUUUUAGAAUCAGAGGGCUAAUGAAUGUUUAAUGAUGUAAAUCUAUGCCUGACACAAUAGAAGAACGACUGGUGUUUAUUGUUUAGGAUGGAGGGGGCCGCUUCCCAGAAUCUAUCGAAUGCCCAAAGCCUGUGCCCUCCCCAUUCAUUUUUCUGGGCUGAACCCUCACUCUCAUUUUCAAGGUUAACAGGGGAAGUAGA